AGCAGGCCAGCAGUCCAGCAGCAAAUGCCUGACAAUCGUCGUAGUUGUUUUCAUAUUAUUUUCUGCUUCCCAUUUGGGCUCGAAUUAAAUUCAGUAUCAAAGAAACUUUAAUUAUUUAUGAGCCCGAAGGAGUCUUAGCCACUCAAUGGCAUAAAAUGGCAAAUUUGUUGCCGCACACCCCAGAUUCAUUGGGUGGGCAUUUUUGCAUUGGCAAGCGUUUUUUGCCGCCUCAGAGUCCCAAGACAGCGGACCACUUGUGUGCGAUACUUUUGCAACAAAGACAGGCACAGCCCCCACAGCCCUGCUGUCAGACAAGGAGAGAGAGAGAGAUGGAGAUAGAGAGAAAAAGAGACGGUAAAACGGACAUACAUAUACGAAGAGCCAUUUGAAAACUAUUACGCCCAUGAGAUUCAUUCAAGUAGUGCGGCAUUUAUAACUCAAAUGUUGCCCAAGUUACAAAAAGCCUAAAAACUCGAGCACAACCAGAACUUAAGGAGCGGGAUCUGGAACAGGAGCAUGAAUGGGAUUCGCUGGCAGAAGAAGCUGAGCUGCAGCAAAGGAUUUUCAGGAGCUCAAGGCAGUUAAUCGGAGCCACCAGAAUAGGACCGAAUAAGGGGGUUACCUAUCCUUCAGAAAAAGCCUCCACCGACUUUUAUAUACUUUCUCUACGAGCUUCGGAUAAACGUUCAUAUUCUAUCUUUAAAUACCCCAAAAUGUAGCUGUCUUACAUACCUUAUCGAUUUCGAUCCAUUAUCCAUAUCUGUUGACUCAGAACCACAGAAAUAUUGCUCAUCUCUGGUAGAGACUGUAACGAAGUGUGGCAGGAAGAUGAAGGAGCUGUGGAAGCGGAAGAAACGGAAGAAGCAGCGCUGAAAAUGGCAACACAGAAUGGCAUUCUCUGUGCUUGCUUUUUAUUAGAAUGUGUCCAUGGAGACGUGGGCACCAGCCAUUGUCUGGCUGCUCUCGGCAGCCUUCUCCAUGAAUCUCUAUCGUCCUCUAGGCGAGUCGUAUGCGAGUAUGUGUGUGUAGUUUGCCAUACAUUUCUUAGCACGUAGUUAUCUGUGGCAACAACUGGAACAACAGUCCCACUUGAAACAACAAUAAAAAGUUGGUUGAAAACAGGAAAAGAUACAGCCAUAUUCGUACGAGUAUGUGUAGCCAACUCCCAGAACUGAUACAAAACCUCGCAAACACCACAAAAUAGUUGGGAUUUCAGCUGGUACAUUCGAAUGCCUAUCCUGUUGCCCGCUAAUAAUCACUAGAAUAAACCUUAUCGCAAGUUUUUUUCGGCUUGUCCUUGUCUUCGGAUAUAAGGUGCUCCAACCAACUGAAGGCACCAUCGCCAUCAGGCUGGUCUAACAUUUUUAUUUGUGUUUCUGAGAUUCGAGUCUGAUUGGGCGAACAGAAAUAAAAGGAGGACGCCCUAUACCUAUCCAUUGCUUCCCUUUGUGGAAACCUCGCUUUGGAAGGUCGGUGGAGAGCCCCUGAUCAGGACCGACAAGCAGUACGGGAACAUUUAGCUGAGACUCCUAAAUAUUUGGGAUAACUUUGAAUGAUCAGGCAAGUGCAGAUACCCGGUAAUCGAAGAGUUUUUUCCAUAAAUUACAUUAAUAGUACAUACGCACUAGGGUUGCGCUUAUUUGUAUGGGCGAAAAAAUGUGUCGGAAUCAAAGGCCUCAGGGUUUAAAAAGGUUCAUCUUUAUAAAACCAUAAAAUAUAAAGUUUCAGCACGAUUUGACAACGUUUCGAGGGGCCGACUUUAAUGAUUUAGAAUAUUAAAAUAUAAUUCGUCGUCCAAAGCUGCAGCUCGAUUAGUUAACAUUUAGGCAAACAAUAAAUAGUUAAGAGCCCAUUUUUAUGCUAAAUUAAGCCAUUAUUAUUAUUCAAUGAAUAUUGACUAGCAUGUUCUUUUACGACGUACAGCAACUUCUAAAACUCAUCUUCCUUUUUGGUUAGCAUUUGCUUAUAGUCUUACAUACCAAUUUUAAAUGUUUUAAGAUUUCUAAAUAAUUUUGAAAAGGAUCCAUUCUGAAGGAUCUUCAGUUAAAAAACCUUUGGAAAUAUUAAACCGAUCAACAAAUUUAUCAGAACUAGGCGUAACAAAAUCAGGUAAAUUAUUUAUAAUAAACAUUGGGAAAUAUUUUUCUUUCAAUAUAAAUAGUUGUCAAUAUAGAGUUGUCAACCUAAAUUCCUCUAGAAACAUAUACAUAUAUGUAUGUUUAAAUUAUAAUUCGCCUUAGACAUCAAGUAUGCACGUCGCAUCAGUCCAGGUAGUCGAAAGCCCAAAAGAAUUUGACUUAACUCUAAUAAUUCAGCGUAAUCAGUAAGCGCAUAAGCAUUCUCAAUCUAACUUGACAGAAGUUAAUUAUAGCAUUUCUUCUUUAAAUUAUAUGCGUUGCAACGUACUGCUGAGUCACACCAAAUCUAAACUUGGUUUGUUCAAUAGUGUUUCAGUCUUGCAAAGAGUGGAACGUUUGUACCUGCUGUAGCCUCGGCAAAUGAUUCAAAUGCAAAUAUAAGAAGUAAGGUCUAAGGUAUACGAGUUUUUGGUCUAAUAAUUUCUCUAUGCCGAUUAUAGCUCCGAUGAGUCGUCCAGAUUUGUACGCUCUGUAUCAAAACAGGCUUUCUUGAUUUUAUCAACUACUUCUUAUUUAAUUAUCCAUUCCGAAAAUAUUUUGGGUGGAUGCGGGGGACAAUUCGCCAUAGUUUAAUACACUGCACGGGUGAUUGCACAUUGGUAUGACAAGUUGAAUGUUUACUAUUUGCUGUUGGCUUCAAUAUUAGCCAAUCGAGCUGGCAUUAUAGGGGCUGCGCUAUAUUUUAAUAGUUUAAAUGUAAAAAAAAUGCAAUCCUUUUAGACCGACAUAUAGAAACCAUUGGCCAAAUAUAAUAUUUUUCUACUUUGACCGCAAUUUAAGACUAUAUAUAUUCUCGAAUCGGGCUAAGACUUUAUAUUUUAUUGUUUUAUACGAAAAGAAGCAAAUUUAGACCUGAGAGCUUUAAAAAUUACACUUUUAUAAACAAGCGCAAUCCUAAUACACACAUUUAUAAAUAAACGGUAUGCAUAAUUUAUUGGACUAUGAAUAUUUGGAAACAAAUUAUAAAAAUAUACUUUAGUUUUCAAUGAAAUGGUUGAAAAUAAAAUUAAUUAAAGAUCAGAUUUAAUUUCACCCUUAACUUUUCUGCUAAACCAUUAAUCAAUGAGAUUAGUAUGAUUGCAUACGAUCAGCUGGUUCAGACUGU
rnacentral:sRNA from 1 species